rnacentral:rRNA from 1 species
CCUACGGGAGGCAGCAGUGAGGAAUAUUGGUCAAUGGCCGAAAGUCUGAACCAGCCAAGCCGCGUGCAGGAAGACGGCCCUAUGGGUUGUAAACCUCUUUUGUACGGGGGCAAAGGAAGAUACGCGUAACUGUCUGAGAGUACCCUAAGAAAAAGGAUCGGCUAACUCCGUGCCAGCAGCCGCGGUAAUACGUAGGUGGCAAGCGUUAUCCGGAUUUAGUGGGGUUAAAGGGCGUGUAGGCGGGGAAGCAAGUCAGAUGUCAAAAUCACGGACUCAACCCGUGUCCUGCCUUUGAAACUGUUUUUCGUGAGUGCGGGAGAGGCAUUCGGAAU